CAUGUCAGAUAUAGGGAGAUGGAAUGCCAAGGAAUGGGGCUGGUGGUUGGGUGUUUGUGACCCAAUUAACAUCAAAACAACAUGCCUGCCCAUGAAGUAGGGAGUGUCAUCCUAGUGUUCUUAUGUGCUCUCCAGAAGCUGAAUGCUAUAAGCCAGCAUAAGAGGAGACUAGCAAAUGCAAGAACCCUGGUAAUGGGCAAUCAGUUUGCCCCAUUACCAUGGAUUGGUGCCAGGGUACUCCUAC